rnacentral:misc_RNA from 1 species
CACUUGCAGUUAGCCUCCAUCCGGCGCCUUCCAAUGGGCGCGGGAGGACAAAGAAGCACCCCCCGUGUUCCACCGAGCCUUUCAUCGGACGCGUGGCCCACGGGGGAGUGCAAAGCUCUUGGACCCAGCGUAUGCCGUGGACGGGGACUCACGUCCCAGUCCCGAGAGGAGCUUAAGAUAUAACGGGUGACGGCCGCUCUCGCCCCAGGACCGCAUCGGCGGCGGGGGUCGGGGCGCGGCGUCGUGGAGGAAUGCUACCUGGUUGAUCCUGCCAGUAGUC